rnacentral:rRNA from 1 species
GACGAACGCUGGCGGCGUGCUUAACACAUUCAAGUCGAACGAAGUGGCGAACGGGUGAGUAAUAAGUGUGUAACCUUCCCUCCUUUUUGGGAUAAGCCUUUGAAACGGGGUCUAAUACCGUAUAAAGGGUGAUGGGCUCGCGGCCUAUCAGCUUGUUGGUGGGGUGAUGGCCUACCAAGGCGGUGACGGGUAGCCGGCCUGAGAGUGUGAACGGCGACAUUGAGACGGAGAUACGGCCCAGACGCCUAAGGGAGGGAGCAGUGGGGGAUAUUGCACAAUGGGCGAAAGCCUGAUGCAGCGACGGCGCGUGGGGGAUGCAGGUUUUCGGGUUGUAAAACUCUUUCGCUAUAGAACGGGUAGGUGGAGAAGAAGCACCGGCUAACUACGUGCCAGCAGCCGCGGUAAUUC